rnacentral:rRNA from 1 species
UACGAAGGGGGGCUAGCGUUGCUCGGAAUCACUGGGCGUAAAGGGUGCGUAGGCGGGUCUUUUAAGUCAGGGGGUGAAAUCCUGGAGCUCAACUCCAGAACUGCCUUUGAUACUGAAGAUCUUGAGUUCGGGAGAGGUGAGUGGAACUUGCGAGUGUAGAGGUGAAAUUCGUAGAUAUUCGCAAGAACACCAGUGGCGAAGGCGGCUCACUGGCCCGAUACUGACGCUGAGGCACGAAAGCGUGGGGAGCAAACAGG